GUGAGGAAUUUUCCGCAAUGGGCGAAAGCCUGACGGAGCAAUGCCGCGUGAAGGAUGAAGGCCUAUGGGUUGUAAACUUCUUUUCUUAGAGAAGAAUAUUGACGGUAUCUGAGGAAUAAGCAUCGGCUAACUCUGUGCCAGCAGCCGCGGUAAGACAGAGGAUGCAAGCGUUAUCCGGAAUGAUUGGGCGUAAAGCGUCUGUAGGUGGCUCCAAAAGUCUCCUGUCAAAGAUCAGGGCUUAACGCUGGGCCGGCAGGGGAAACUCUGAGGCUAGAGUUUGGUAGGGGCAGAGGGAAUGCCCGGUGGAGCGGUGAAAUGCGUAGAGAUCGGGAGGAACACCAAAGGCGAAAGCACUCUGCUGGGCCACAACUGACACUGAGAGACGAAAGCGAGGGGAGCAAAAGGGAUUAGAAACCCCUGUAGUCC
rnacentral:rRNA from 1 species